AUGGGCGUAGCUGACUGGAAAGCAACGGUCUCCAAAGCCGUGAUAUGCAGGUUCGAUUCCUGCCGCCCGUGC
rnacentral:tRNA from 1 species